rnacentral:rRNA from 1 species
GCUCGUAGUUGGAUAUCUGGCUUUGCACGGACGGCCCGCCUUCGGGUUGAGUGCUGGAAGUGCUAGCCUAUUUUCUGGUUGGCGUUCUUUCCCUUUAUUGUGGCGAGUUUCGCGAUCCGGAUCGUUUACUUUGAAGAAAUUCGAGUGUUCAAAGCAGGCUUACGCCGUGAAGAUUGCAGCAUGGAAUAAUGACAUAGGACUAUCGUGUUCUAUUUUGUUGGUUCUGGGACCGUAGUAAUGAUUGAUAGGGACAGUUGGGGGUGCUGCUAUUCCGCGGCCAGAGGUGAAAUUCUCAGAUUCCCGGAAGAGCAACUUAUGCGAAAGCAUUCACCAAGGAUGUCUUCUUUAAUCAAGAACGAAAGUAGGGGGAUCGAAGACGAUCAGAUACCGUCGUAGUCUCUACCAUAAACUAUGCCGACUAGGGAUUGGUGGACGUUGUUUUAUCCGACUCCAUCAGCACCUUAUGAGAAAUCAAAGUCUUUGGGUUCCGGGGGGAGUAUGGUCGCAAGGCUGAAACUUAAAGGAAUUGACGGAAGGACACCACCAGAAGUGGAACUUGCGGCUUAAUUUGACUCAACACGGGAAAACUUUCCAGGUCC